rnacentral:rRNA from 1 species
AGGGGAGUGAAAAAGAACCUGAAACCGUGUACGUACAAGCAGUGGGAGCACAGAGCAAUCUGUGUGACUGCGUACCUUUUGUAUAAUGGGUCAGCGACUUAUAUUCUGUAGCAAGGUUAACCGAAUAGGGGAGCCGAAGGGAAACCGAGUCUUAACUGGGCGUUAAGUUGCAGGGUAUAGACCCGAAACCCGGUGAUCUAGCCAUGGGCAGGUUGAAGGUUGGGUAACACUAACUGGAGGACCGAACCGACUAAUGUUGAAAAAUUAGCGGAUGACUUGUGGCUGGGGGUGAAAGGCCAAUCAAACCGGGAGAUAGCUGGUUCUCCCCGAAAGCUAUUUAGGUAGCGCCUCGUGAACUCAUCUCCGGGGGUAGAGCACUGUUUCGGCAAGGGGGUCAUCCCGACUUACCAACCCGAUGCAAACUGCGAAUACCGGAGAAUGUUAUCACGGGAGACACACGGCGGGUGCUAACGUCCGUCGUGAAGAGGGAAACAACCCAGACCGCCAGCUAAGGUCCCAAAGUCAUGGUUAAGUGGGAAACGAUGUGGGAAGGCCCAGACAGCCAGGAUGUUGGCUUAGAAGCAGCCAUCAUUUAAAGAAAGCGUAAUAGCUCACUGGUCGAGUCGGCCUGCGCGGAAGAUGUAACGGGGCUAAACCAUGCACCGAAGCUGCGGCAGCGACACUGUGUGUUGUUGGGUAGGGGAGCGUUCUGUAAGCCUGUGAAGGUGUACUGUGAGGUAUGCUGGAGGUAUCAGAAGUGCGAAUGCUGACAUAAGUAACGAUAAAGCGGGUGAAAAGCCCGCUCGCCGGAAGACCAAGGGUUCCUGUCCAACGUUAAUCGGGGCAGGGUGAGUCGACCCCUAAGGCGAGGCCGAAAGGCGUAGUCGAUGGGAAACAGGUUAAUAUUCCUGUACUUGGUGUUACUGCGAAGGGGGGACGGAGAAGGCUAUGUUGGCCGGGCGACGGUUGUCCCGGUUUAAGCGUGUAGGCUGGUUUUCCAGGCAAAUCCGGAAAAUCAAGGCUGAGGCGUGAUGACGAGGCACUACGGUGCUGAAGCAACAAAUGCCCUGCUUCCAGGAAAAGCCUCUAAGCAUCAGGUAACAUCAAAUCGUACCCCAAACCGACACAGGUGGUCAGGUAGAGAAUACCAAGGCGCUUGAGAGAACUCGGGUGAAGGAACUAGGCAAAAUGGUGCCGUAACUUCGGGAGAAGGCACGCUGAUAUGUAGGUGAAGUCCCUCGCGGAUGGAGCUGAAAUCAGUCGAAGAUACCAGCUGGCUGCAACUGUUUAUUAAAAACACAGCACUGUGCAAACACGAAAGUGGACGUAUACGGUGUGACGCCUGCCCGGUGCCGGAAGGUUAAUUGAUGGGGUCAGCGCAAGCGAAGCUCUUGAUCGAAGCCCCGGUAAACGGCGGCCGUAACUAUAACGGUCCUAAGGUAGCGAAAUUCCUUGUCGGGUAAGUUCCGACCUGCACGAAUGGCGUAAUGAUGGCCAGGCUGUCUCCACCCGAGACUCAGUGAAAUUGAACUCGCUGUGAAGAUGCAGUGUACCCGCGGCAAGACGGAAAGACCCCGUGAACCUUUACUAUAGCUUGACACUGAACAUUGAGCCUUGAUGUGUAGGAUAGGUGGGAGGCUUUGAAGUGUGGACGCCAGUCUGCAUGGAGCCGACCUUGAAAUACCACCCUUUAAUGUUUGAUGUUCUAACGUGGACCCGUGAUCCGGGUUGCGGACAGUGUCUGGUGGGUAGUUUGACUGGGGCGGUCUCCUCCUAAAGAGUAACGGAGGAGCACGAAGGUUGGCUAAUCCUGGUCGGACAUCAGGAGGUUAGUGCAAUGGCAUAAGCCAGCUUGACUGCGAGCGUGACGGCGCGAGCAGGUGCGAAAGCAGGUCAUAGUGAUCCGGUGGUUCUGAAUGGAAGGGCCAUCGCUCAACGGAUAAAAGGUACUCCGGGGAUAACAGGCUGAUACCGCCCAAGAGUUCAUAUCGACGGCGGUGUUUGGCACCUCGAUGUCGGCUCAUCACAUCCUGGGGCUGAAGUAGGUCCCAAGGGUAUGGCUGUUCGCCAUUUAAAGUGGUACGCGAGCUGGGUUUAGAACGUCGUGAGACAGUUCGGUCCCUAUCUGCCGUGGGCGCUGGAGAACUGAGGGGGGCUGCUCCUAGUACGAGAGGACCGGAGUGGACGCAUCACUGGUGUUCGGGUUGUCAUGCCAAUGGCACUGCCCGGUAGCUAAAUGCGGAAGAGAUAAGUGCUGAAAGCAUCUAAGCACGAAACUUGCCCCGAGAUGAGUUCUCCCUGACCCUUUAAGGGUCCUGAAGGAACGUUGAAGACGACGACGUUGAUAGGCCGGGUGUGUAAGCGCAGCGAUGCGUUGAGCUAACCGGUACUAAUGAACCGUGAGGCUUAACCUUACAACGCCGAAGGUGUUU